CUGACCAAAGUGAGAACAUUCAGAGAGAAGAAUAGUCUCUUCAACAAACUGUGUAAAGGAUGAGAGUGAACUGCAUGUCAUCUGCCAGGUGCUGCCGAAUGACUUGGGAGAAGAAGAGACCCAACCCUUGCAUGGAAACGGAGGCAGGCUCUACCUCCAAGACCUGAUGCCUCCAAGAUUAUCAACCCCUUCUUCUCUUGACACCCACCUCCUGUUGUUCUGGACCUCUGCGAUCCUACACCUGAUGGUGGCUUCAGCUUCCUUUGGCAUCUCUGCCUCAACCACACUCCGAUGUGGACCCUUCUCUCCAAGGCAGCCAGGGGGCCUUUCAGAAAUUAAAUCAAGCUGGAUGUAGUGGUGUGUGCCUACAGUCCAAGUUACCUGGGAGGCUGAGAUAGGAGACUAGGGUGGGUAACUUAGCAAGACCUUGUCUCAAAAUAAAAUCAAAAGGGCUUCCCCUUUGGGCAGGGGAGACUUGGUACAGAGCCGGUGGAAGCUACCAGUGGGGUUUCCCUAAUGAGUUAAUGAGUGAACGAGAAUCAGCAGCUAAAUUCCUUAUUGGCUUUUCCCCAUCAUUAUUUUUUUAAAACUUCUGUACAACUUCAGGAAGAUAAAACCAGAAUGAAUGUUGUAUAAUUUACAUUCUUUUAAGUUUGUUAGGUCCUAGAACAUUGUCUUAGUAAACGUUUCAUGGGAGCUCAAGCAGGAUUCGUGUUGUGUUGUUGGAUAAAGGCACCUAAGGAGUCAUGGAUAU